ACUUCUGAAAGUUGCCAGGGUAAUUAUAGUGAUAGUUAUUUUUUCCUCAGAAACGUUAAACAUUUGAGAAGUCUAAAACAACAGUUUAUGUUUAAUUAUCAUUCAACUUUAUUUAAGCAAACAAACUUCAAUUCUACAGCUCAGGAUCCAAGCCAGUUAUUUGUAACUACUUAAAUGACUGCACAACACAAGCAUCACUUUACUCUUUGAAAUUCAACUGGUUUGAAUUUUGAUCCCCUCUCAGGGAUGGCCUCCUUAUGUUGAAAUAAUGAUUUGUUACCAUGAAGACCCAUCAAUGCUACAGCCUUACACUCAACAACAUUUGCACUCGACUUGUUUUAUUUUUUUGUGUUUUUUCUUUUUGUUGUUUUAAUUCUCUAUGUCACAUUAGUGGAGAACUAGCACUGGACUUGAUUCGUGCAUCCCAAUGGUUUCACACCCAUGCCCCAUUUUUAAGCCGUUGUAUUAUGUUCUGCUUAUCAGACUAUAGUGGAUAAUCUCAAAUCAUGGGCCUCUUGCUGUUAAAUUGUAACUGGAAAUAACAUGUAGAAAGUGUUUUUUUUUUCUCAAUGUUGCUGUUUAUUAUUUUUGUUUUAAUUUUUAUUAUGAUUAUUAUUAUUAUUAUUUGUUAUUAUUACGGUCUCCCAUGCUCAAGCUUGCAGGCUGGCAGAAAAGCCAUAAAACAAAUCUCUUAAUAUUUGAUAGGGAAAUGCUUUAAUUUGAAAUGCAAUAGGAUUUUAUUUUUAUUUUUUUUUUAUAAAACACUGGGAAACAGCUAUUGGCAUCACUUCAUUUCACCGUGCUACCAUCACUAGCUGUUGGAUGGCAUUGACUGUGAAUAUCACUUUGCAAAAAGAGACAACAAAAAAAACAAUCUGUGUAAAUCUAACUGGAAUAUGUGAACUGGCCUCUGCGGAAGAUGACUGCCUUAGUCAUAGUGCAGCGACUUGAGCAACUGGUUUUGUUCAUCUUUUUUUCUAGUACAGUAAGAUUGACUCUUUUUUUUUUUGAUUGUUAGUCUGGGCAAGUUUUGGGCAAGUUGAAAUGAAUCCAAUCACUCAUUCAAAGUCUUUCUCGGCAUUGCUGAUCACCUCCGUCUGUGGCUUAAGGCUGCCAGGCUUUGAUUCAAAACUACUGCAGACUAUUGGGUUAAAAAAUGGUGCCUUCCAAAAUAUACAGGCAAUUGUUUUUUUUUUUUGUAUGUGUAAAUAACAAAAAAAUUCGGACUUUUUUCCAAAACAAAAAUAAGGGAAAAGCCUUCCAAUCACGCGCAUUUUUUUGAAGCUGCAAACCAUUUUUUUCUGUUCAAGUUACAUUAUAUUGUAGAAUAUAGCACCUCCGUGUAUUUAAACAGUACUAUCUAAACUCAACUGUGUGCCUUCACUUAUAAAAUCUAUUUCUAAUCAACUUUUAUUAAAUAUGGGGCCACAACCUUCCUUUCGGAGCAUGAAACAGAAUCAAGAGAAAUUAUUCCGCCACUAUUUAUCAAGCAAACUAACCUGUUGUGUUUGGUAAGAUUGAAAAUAAAAGAAGAGAGGAGUUGGGUAUCUAAAUGGCAAACAGACAGUCCGCAUCCCAAGGUGCUUUAAAAGUCCAAAUCCAUUUUACAAUUGUGUUCUAUAUACAGUAUAUAGUGGCCAGGUGCAGGAAUAGUUGUGACACCGAUCGGAUAAUCCCGUUUAACUAAACAGAAAAGUCAACAUAAAUCAAUGCCUUGUGAUGUUUAGGUGUCUGAAGGAAAAGACUUUAGCUUUAGCUGCAGGGUCAGGGUCUGUUUAUUUGGAAACUUUUUGCGGCUGGUCACUCUGUUCAAAACGACAGCUAGCGGGGCUAUAGCAGGGGAACUGGAAGGGACGGGGAAAAAUGUCCUCCCUAACCGGUUUCUCAGUGCUUUGGACAGAGAGGGAGAAGAAAAUGUUAGCGACAGCACUCCCUCUCAUCCUGGCAGGUUACUAGAUGUCUCGAUCGAACCAGUAAGGAGAUCCUCUGACACAUAUGCAUGACACAAUUUAUAUAUAUAUAUACUGUAUAUAUAUAGUGACCUGUAGGGGGCACCACAGAGCCCGAAACCCUAGACAUAACCUGCACAGACACAAGACCGAAGUUCAAAUGCAAGGUUUUAAAUAUAUUAAAGUACCUUCACUAGUUGCUAUACAACACAAUUCUCAUCUUUCCUCCUUCGAGCUUUGUCAUUCUUCCACCUGACUCCAACUCACCUGAGUGACUCCAGUUAUCUAAGAGCCGGAACUACUUCAGGUCCUAAGACAGUUAGUUGGAAGUACUUUCGUUUCCAAUGAAGUAGAGAUUGCGAACCCAAAAGGGCGGCACCCUAGGACUCCAAUUCCCAGCAUGCCCUGUGGGUAUCCAAAUGGGCACCACAGUCCAGGGAUGCUGCCAUCAAGUGUCAGGGGAGAAAGAAAUCAAUCUGAUGUCUCCCCGGUCCUUCCAUUUCACUGGUCUCCCAUCUGGGUAUGGGUCCCUGUUCCAUCUCGGCUGGACACCAGCCCAUGCGUGAUGUCUAUUACAAUGCACAUAUAUAUCAUAAUGUUAGGUACAUUAACUGAUUCACUUAGGGCUGUACAGCGAGUCAAGGCACAGAUUGAAAGGGCAACCUUGUGGUUUACCAUCUCAGUUCUCCAGAAUAAGAGAAGUGAAAAUGUUUUGCUCAUCCUUCAUGAAUCAGGAAAAGAAAAAGCUGUUUAAAAAAAUGAUAAUUGCCCAUAUUCAAUAAGCGCUGUUUCCUCUUUUUUUUUUUAAUGUGUUUCAGUUAAAAAAAAGAAAAUCAGCAUGUGCCUGGUAUCAUUUUCAGACACUGACAAAUCAAAGCCAAAAAAGAGACAUUACACUGUCAUUGGUUUAUUGUGCUGACCCCUCCACUCAAUAAUUUAUGUUGAUUCCAGGACCCUCAGCUUCUUGUUGAUUUGUUUCUCAAAUAUUACAUAGCGUCUUUCUUCCAUGAACAGGAUGCUUUACACAUGUAUCACAAACCAGUCGCUUCAGUAUUUCCAUUGUUGGAGCACAUGGUGAUUAAGUCAGUGAGGACUGGACUCUCACCCUUGUGAUUUCCAUUCCACGGAUUUACAACUUGGCCGCUCUCGAUGUUAGGAAAGAAAACUGCAGAGACAUUGUUGAUUGAUGUUCUGCUCAGAGUUGUUUUGAACGUCUUUAAAUUGAACAUGUUUCUGAGCACGGGUUGUUUUAAUUUUUUGUUCUACUUAAUGGUCUCUUUUUCAGUGUUUUUAUCCUGUUUUUAUGGUAUUAUUUCAGCACUAGCUUUUUGUACCCCAUUAUCUUAUUAUGGUUUUCUUUUGUUCCUGUUUCACUCCUUUUCCAUUUUUGUUCCUUAUUGUUUCUACGUUAGUUCUAUUUUAAACUCUUUCUGUUUUUGCUUUGUUCUAUUUAUCUUGCAUUAUUUUGAUUUUGUUUCUACCUUGUGGUUAUUUGUUUUGUUUCCUGUUAGAUUCCCGAUCUCGAGGUCAACAAGCUAAUAAAUCAGUUGUUCUUCCAGGAACAAUAAAGGGAGAAUCUCGGAGUCAAUAGGAGGUGCAACUUUAUACGUGUUUUAUUUUAAUUCCAUUGAAAUGUGUUAAGAAGUUCAAUUCUCGCUGUCCUCAUUGAACUCAUUUUACGUUUCCGUUUAAUUCCUGGGACGGCCCUGGCUUGCAUGUGAUGUAGUGUUUUCAGUCUGGCCAUCCACUUUGAAUUCUUUUCAUUAUUCACACAUUUUUUCUGAAUGUGUAAAGUGAUGUUAAGUGCAGCUUGCAAAAAUAUUUUGUCAAAACGGGAAUAUUUUGUUAGUUAUAUGCCUGUCUUCGAAGUCUGCUUCACACAUAAUCUAACCGAUUCCAUGAUUCCAGUAUAACUCACUUUCACUUCCCUCAGUUUAGAGAGACAUUUCAUAAAGUGCCAUAAGGACCUAAAACAAUCCAUGCAAAUUCAGUUAAAGGGCUAAAAUAUAACAUGUGUCAGAUCCUAAAAUAGUGAAUAUUUUACCACUGCGCGUGAAAUCUCUUCUUCUGCUGCCUCUAUCAGGGAUGGAUGGCUGAAUUUCGUGUGAGUGUUAUGGAUGUGUGUGUGUGUGUGUGUGUGCAGAUUCCAGACUCGUUCAGAGCUGGGUUAUUACUAGGCCUAGACCAUCUUCAUUAAAAUUAUGGCAUCAUUUAUCCCAAAUUUCAGUGUGUGUGCGAUGUGGGUGUUCCUGUUGUCUGGAUUUGUCUGCAAACAUUAAUUAUAAUUUAAAAAUAGAGGUCAGCCUCUGUAGUGGACUCCACGACUAUGAAAAUGCCAAGACCAACUCCAGCACAACCUAAACACUUCCUAUAAAUCUACUUUUUCAAAUCUUUAUUACCCUUUUAAUGUCAAUUACUAAUAUUUUUCCAUCCUCCAUGUUGCCAAGCUGAUGAAUUUCUCGGUCACGUUAGACAUUAUUUUCUUCAGUUUUCAUGAUAUCUUUCAUCAUCAAUGCUGUCACAAAGUGCUUUUAACAGAUCAUAAAAUAGUUUGUUGCAUCACCGAAGAUGUAUAUGUGUAAAUAUUUAUGUGCAUUUAGAAAUAUGUGUUUAAAUAUUCAUUAUUUUACAUAUGCACAUUCAUUAUUUUACACAGUGUCCACAAAAAGAUGUGUUGGGGCACCAACUGUGUCACCCUUUUUAAAAAUUGCAGAGUCACAAAAUUAACAGGGGCUCAAUAGUAUGAAUAAUUGCAAAGAAACCAAAGCAAAUUAGUCAAGCAAGGUUCUAUAGAGCGGUCAUUAUUAAGGUAGGAGCUCCAUAAUGCAGUCUGUUCUCUUUGGAAUGAGGCGACUCCUGCCUCGGAGCCCCCAGACUUUAUAGUGGCUGGACCAGAAGAGGCAGAGUCAGUUGCUCUCAUUGGGUGGUUUUGCAGGGCUGUGGGAGUAAACAGAGAUGCUACUGUCAGCAACAGUGGCCCCUCCUGUCCUGGAGUGGUAGUGCUUACCUCUGAUGAGCUGCAAGUGGUGAGUCUUAGGUGCACAUGUGUGACAAUGUGUCUUAUAAAAUAAAAAGAGAUAGGGUGAUUGUAAAGGGUUGGGGUCUGUCCAGGCACCCCAUUUAAUGUAGGUGAGAAUAGGAAGAAAAUGGAAAACAACUCCAAUAAAAAUUACUCUGCGUCUGCUGUCCAUUUCUAGGCUAUACGGGCCAUCAAUUUUGAGAUUCACUCUCAUCAACAGUUGGAGAUGCACCCUUCUCCAAGAUGGCUUCAUCAGUAAACACCGACUGUCGUUCCUUACAUUGGUCAUGCAUUGGAUCUACCAAAAUCCAGAAGUGGCAUCAGAAGAUGCCUCUGGACUCAUCCUCUGGUCUGUGGAUAAAAAGGAAGGUGCCGUUCGUGGUUGAGGUCCCUCAGGUGUUUGAGGAGGAUAUGUCACCUUAUCAGAGCCUUGAAGAUUUCUUUAUGCUCAUGUAUAUCUAGAAAUGGCUAUGCGGUUGUGUAAAUAUAUAUAUAUAUAUAUAUAUAUAUAUAUAUAUGUGCAUAAUUUGUGCUUAUAGUAUAUAAGAUGAGGCACUGACUUAAUGGUUACCUUCAGGUAUCAAGAUUUAAUCCUGGGCCUGGUCACUGUCUUUGUGGAGUCUGCCCAUUCUUCAGGUUCUGAAAUGAUAGUUUCCUGGGUCCUCUUGAAUCUUCCUCAUCCCAAAGAUGUGCAUGUUUUAAGUUGUUGUUUGACUCUAAGUCAGCCUGGAAUGAUUGUACAAUGUGAUACACUGUCAAUUCCCAUCUAAGGAUGGUUCUUGCCUUCAGCAUUAUAUUGCUCACAUAGCUGUAGACAUUUAACGUCAUUUGUAAAAAUGCACUUCUAAUGUUGCUGUUUCACUUGUGCUGUUUUUAUCAUUUGAAUGUAUGCCGAAACAGAGGGAAAAUGUAGUAAAAGUUAAAAAAAUCAACUUUUGGAAUAUCGUCCAAUCAUAUUUUAAAUUCCUGCUAAUUCACAGCAUAGCAAAAAGAGCAAAAAACAAAACUGGUAGCCUCAUACAGUGCAGUCGGAUUGUAAUAGUCAACGUUUCAUUGAUCACUCUUAUUUUCUACAUAAAUGGGCAUGUUUGCAGGAAAAUGUCACAUUUAUGCAGAAAACCAAUUCUAUUUUGUUUAAGAUGAGUUCAGAUCCAUUUCCCUUGCCUGGAGAUCCCCUGUUCAGUACAACAGAGUAUGCAUUCACUUUGGAGCAAUAAAGAUGUCGGCCAUUUGUUCAAACCAAUUCCAAAGUCACAAUCCUCAUUAUUUGUAUGAUGAGCCCCCUGUGGUGGGCUGGCGCCCUGCCCGGGGUUUGUUUCCUGCCUUGCGCCCUGUGUUGGCUGGGAUUGGCUCCAGUAGACCCCUGUGACCCUGUGUUAGGAUAUAGCGGGUUGGAUAAUGGAUGGAUGAUGAGCCCCCUGUAACAAAUUCCAUUUUUGAAUUUCUCAGUUCCCAGACUAGCAACCAUACCACAUGCAUUUCAGAACAGGUCAUCUGCCUGAAGCUAAGCAUGUUUGGGCCCAGGACUGUAGUCAACCAGGGAAAACUUGGGUUGCUAAUGGAAGAGGUGUUGGUGAGGCCAGCAGGCCGUGUUUACCUGUGCUGCCCAUAUGAAUGUUUUAAAAAUGGCGAUGUCCUUCGGAUGAAACGUAAAAUUGAGGUAUUGAAUCUCUGUGGUCAUUAAAGUUCUCUGGGCAUCCUUCGUAAAGAUCAGGGUGUAUCCUGAUGUCGUAGCUAAAUUGCCCUCCACAGUCUGGUCAUGGGCAGCACGGUGGCACAGUGGUAGCACUGCAGUCUCGCAGUAAGGAGACCUGGGUUCGCUUCCUGGGUCCUCCUUGCGUGAAGUUUGCAUGUUCUCCCUGUGUCUGCGUGGGUUUCCUCUGGGUGCUCCUGCAGUGGCCUGACGCCCUGCCCGGGGACUUGAUCCUGCCUUGUGCCCUGUGUUGGCUGGGAUUGGCUCCAGCAGACCCCCGUGACCCUGUGUUAGGAAAUAGCGGGUUGGAUAAUGAUUGACUAACUGACAGUCUGGUCAUUCUGGCCACCUAAUUAUCCCCCUGUCUCAUCAUCCAGUUGGAUGCUGCACACUGGUAGUGAAUGAAGUGGCUACCCACUCACUGAAGCGCUUUGAGUAGUGAGGAAAAGUGCUAAAUAAACUUUUCUGCAUGCGAGUCAAGAGCAUGUCAAUGCACGCAAAGCCAGAAGUCAGCUGCCAUGCUGAGAUGAGAGAAUUGCUGCAGCCAAUGAAUGUCAAGCAAUUCGUCAAAAUGAGGGUUAGCCAAAAGCAUUGGAAUUUGCAAGAAGGGCAUCUGAGACCAUUUCUACCCCAGCUGUCGCUUCCCAAGACACUGAACCUGCUCGACUUAAGCUGAAGAGUGGAGGCCCUGGUGAUGGUAAUUUCCUACAGAAGCAGAUGAUGGCACUAUUUACUAAUACCUUGUCUCUUCCUCCCUCUGCACACCAGAAGAUGGAUGACUUUACCACACUUGACAGCACUUCCGGUGUCCGUCCACCUGGACCUGCCUCUUUGUGCUCGAAGUCCUUAUUACCAGAAGAUCUGCCAUCUCGAGGCAGUCACUCUUGCACCUGUGAAGACAAUUCUUUUCUUUCUGAGGCA